rnacentral:rRNA from 1 species
GACGGGGGAGGCAAGCGUUGUCCGGAAUUAUUGGGCGUAAAGAGCGCGUAGGUGGUUUAUCAAGUCAUUUGUGAAAACUUUAGGCUUAACUUAAAGACUGCAAGUGAUACUGAUAUACUUGAGCACAGCAGAGGAAAGUGGAAUUCCUGGUGUAGCGGUGAAAUGCGCAGAUAUCAGGAAGAACACCAGUGGCGAAGGCGGCUUUCUGGGCUGUUGCUGACACUGAGGCGCGAAAGCUAGGGGAGCAAACAGGAUUAGAUACCCUGGUAGUCCUAGCUGUAAACGAUGGACACUAGGUGUGGGAGGUUAUCGACGCUUUCCGUGCCGAAGCUAACGCAUUAAGUGUCCCGCCUGGGGAGUACGGCCGCAAGGCUAAAACUCAAAGGAAUUGACGGGGGCCCGCACAAGCGGCGGAGCAUGUGGCUUAAUUCGACGCAACGCGAAGAACCUUACCAAGGCUUGACAUCAUGCUGAAGAAUAUAGAAAUAUAUUCGCCCGCAAGGGUAGCAUGACAGGUGGUGCAUGGUUGUCGUCAGCUCGUGUCGUGAGAUGUUGGGUUAAGUCCCGCAACGAGCGCAACCCUCUUCCCAUGUUGCCAGCAGUUUGGCUGGGCACUCUUGGGAUACUGCCAGUGUAAAACUGGAGGAAGGUGGGGAUGACGUCAAAUCAUCAUGCCCUUUAUGCUUUGGGCCGCACACGUGCUACAAUGGCUUGUACAAAGAGCUGCGAUACCGCGAGGUGGAGCGAAUCUCAAAAAACAAGUCUAAGUCCAGAUUGAAGGCUGAAACUCGCCUUCAUGAAGUCGGAGUCGCUAGUAAUCGUGGAUCAGCACGCCACGGUGAAUACGUUCCCGGGCCU